AGAAUCCUACCUGGUUUCCCAGCUACAUUCUUGUGAGGUGGCUGACUUGGCAGAUACAAACUGUGAGAAGAAAUCACUCCUCCUAAAUGCUGUUGGAACUGAAAAUCAACCUAUGGAAUCCUACCUGGUUUCCCAGCUACAUUCUUGUGAGGUGGCUGACUUGGCAGAUACAAAUUGUGAGAAGAGAUCACUCCUCCUAAAUGCUGUUGGAACUGAAAAUCAACCUAUGGGUGAGCUUCCUACUUGAACAACAUGAUACAUAAAUCCAUGUUCAGUCAAAUAAAUAUUUU
rnacentral:lncRNA from 1 species